rnacentral:misc_RNA from 1 species
AAACGGCUUAUUCUACUUUAGGGGUUCUCAUAAUCCUAAAGUUGUCUUCUAAUCUCUAACAUUUAGAGAUUUUAAUUCCGUAAAGUCAAUUAGUGAAAGACCACUAAUUAUUACUAACUUUACAAGUGUUAACAUCUAAUUCACCAAUUAGAUGUGUUUUCAACUUUUUAUUGUGCCACUUGUCCAGUUUGUAUAAAUUGGAGAUUUGAACAAGUCAUAUCACUUUAGAGAUUUUGAUAUCCCUAAAGUGUUAUGAAAACUUUAAUAAGUCAUUUACACAAUUUUCUUUCGUGAGUUCUCAAGCUUGGUGUGUUUUGGAACUUGGUGUGUUGCAGCCCUA